GCCCGCCUAGCUCAAUCGGAUAGAGCGUCAGACUCUUAGGGCGGAUGCGUUCUGACACCCCCGAGUGUGAUCUGAAGGCUGCGAGUUCGACCCUCGCGGUGGGCU